rnacentral:misc_RNA from 1 species
AAGUCGUAACAAGGUUUCCGUAGGUGAACCUGCGGAAGGAUCAUUACUAAAUUUGAUUAUCCAUAAACCCCAAAUUUUGUGAGCACGUUAAAAUCGAUCAUUCCUUUUUCGAAAGAAAUUGGCUUGGUCGAUUUUAUUUUAUAAACACCUAUUAAAAUAACUGCGAAAGCAAUAGUCUGAAAAUUAAAAAAGAAAUUUUUUUAUAAAAAAACAACUUUUAACAACGGAUCUCUUGGCUCUC